rnacentral:rRNA from 1 species
CCUACGGGUGGCAGCAGUGGGGAAUAUUGCACAAUGGGGGGAACCCUGAUGCAGCGACGCCGCGUGGGUGAGGAAGUACUUCGGGAUGUAAAGCCCUAUCAGCAGGGAAGAAAAUGACGGUACCUGACUAAGAAGACCAGGCUAACUACGGACCAGCAGCCGCGGGAAGACGAAGGGGGCAAGCGUUAACCGGGUUUACUGGGUGGAAAGGGAGCGUAGACGGGGUGCCAAUUCUGAUGUGAAAGGCCGGGGCACAACCCCGGGACUGCAUGGGAAACUGGCAUGCUGGAGUGCCGGAGGGGCAAGCGGAAUUCCAAGUGUAGCGGUGAAAUGCGUAGAUAUUAGGAGGAACACCGGUGGCGAAGGCGGCUUGCUGGACGGUAACUGACGUUGAGGCUCGAAAGCGUGGGGAGCAAACAGGAUUAGAUACCCUUGUAGUC